rnacentral:rRNA from 1 species
CNUGCCAGCAGCCGCGGUAAUACGGAGGGUGCAAGCGUAAUCCGSAAUUACKGGGUUUAAAGGGUGCGUAGGCNGUUUAAUAAGUCAGAAGUGAAAASUCCGAGCUCAACUGGGGCCUUGCWUUUGAUACUGUGAGACUUGAAUCAGGCUGANGUAAGCGGAAUGUGACAUGUAGCGGUGAAAUGCAUAGAUAUGUCNUAGAACACCAAUUGCNAAGGCAGCUAACUAGACCUCAAUUGACGCUGAGGCACGAAAGCGUGGGGAGCGAACAGGAUUAGAUACCCUGGUAGUCCACGCCCUAAACGAUGCUUACUCGGUGUUUGGGUCUGAACUUGAGCACCUAAGGGAAACC